UCCGGCACGCCGGGGCGGCGGCCGUCGGGCUGGCGCUUCGGGUCGCCGGCCGGCGACCAGUCGUUGGCGAGCGGCAGUUCGAUGCCGAUGCUGAAGCC
rnacentral:tRNA from 1 species